GAUGUUAGCGGCGGACGGGUGAGUAACACGUGGAUAACCUACCUAUAAGACUGGGAUAACUUCGGGAAACCGGAGCUAAUACCGGAUAAUAUUUUGAACCGCAUGGUUCAAAAGUGAAAGACGGUCUUGCUGUCACUUAUAGAUGGAUCCGCGCUGCAUUAGCUAGUUGGUAAGGUAACGGCUUACCAAGGCAACGAUGCAUAGCCGACCUGAGAGGGUGAUCGGCCACACUGGAACUGAGACACGGUCCAGACUCCUACGGGAGGCAGCAGUAGGGAAUCUUCCGCAAUGGGCGAAAGCCUGACGGAGCAACGCCGCGUGAGUGAUGAAGGUCUUCGGAUCGUAAAACUCUGUUAUUAGGGAAGAACAUAUGUGUAAGUAACUGUGCACAUCUUGACGGUACCUAAUCAGAAAGCCACGGCUAACUACGUGCCAGCAGCCGCGGUAAUACGUAGGUGGCAAGCGUUAUCCGGAAUUAUUGGGCGUAAAGCGCGCGUAGGCGGUUUUUUAAGUCUGAUGUGAAAGCCCACGGCUCAACCGUGGAGGGUCAUUGGAAACUGGAAAACUUGAGCGCAGAAGAGGAAAGUGGAAUUCCAUGUGUAGCGGUGAAAUGCGCAGAGAUAUGGAGGAACACCAGUGGCGAAGGCGACUUUCUGGUCUGUAACUGACGCUGAUGUGCGAAAGCGUGGGGAUCAAACCGGAUUAGAUACCCUGGUAGUCCACGCCGUAAACGAUGAGUGCUAAGUGU
rnacentral:rRNA from 1 species